CUUUGCGCCGCCGUGAGCCCUCGGAGGAGGCCAGUCAGCCGCAGCCGUGGCACCCAGCCGGAAUGGCAUGAUCCUGAAGCCCCAGUCCCACAAGGACCGUCAGGGGCGCGUGGCCACGUGGUUCAACCAGCCGGCCGGCAAAAUCCGCAGACGCAAGGGCCAGCAGGCCAAGGCGCGCCUCCUCGCCCCGCGCCCCACGUCUGGCCUCCUCCAGCCGGUGGUGAGAUGCCCCACGGUCAGGUACCACAGCAAGGCGGGCGCCGGCAGGGGCUUCAGCCUGGAGGAGCUGAGGGUGGCUGGCAUCCACAGGAAGGUGGCCCGGACCAUUGGGAUCUCAGUGGACCCAAGGCGGCAGAACAAGCGCACGGAGUCCCUGCCGGCCAACGUGCAGCGGCACAAGGAGGAUCCAAGUUCAUCCUCUUCCCCAGGAAGCCCUCGGCCCCCAAGAAGGGAGACUGCACUGCUGAAGAGCUCGGGUUGGCCACCCAGCUGACGGGACCAGUCAUGCCCCUACGAAACGUCUACAAGAAGGAGAAAGCCAGAGUCAUGACAGAGGAGGAAAAGAACUUCAAGGUGGUCGCCAGGCUCCGCAUGGCCCGUGCCAUCGCCUGGCUCUUUGGCAUCCCGGCAAAAAGGGCCAAGGAGGCUGCAGAACAGGAUGUUGAAAAGAAAAAAAUAAGGUGCUCUUGGCAAAUUGUGAUUUAA